GUCAUAAAUAAGAGAUGAUAAUCGCCAAUGCGAUACAUAUUUAGAUCGAGAAAGUGACGAGUCGUGAUAUAUUGUCGGUAUCGUUUAGUGUCGUGUUAGCUAUUUCUAUAAAUUAUUGUACUAAUAUGACUUUAAAAAAAAAUGUUAAUCGUUUGUGAUUUAAUUAGGAUGACUUUUUACAUAAAUAACUGCUGCUGUAAAUCGUGAAUUACAUCCUUAAAUUAUCCAGCAGGAGUCUGCAGAAAUUCUCGGCACAUUUUGAGACCUGUUAAUGUUUCUAUGACCCUAUGCCGCAUAUAUCCGAGUAGCUGUUAAUUAUUGUAUAAAAGGAGAUUAAGAAAGGUCACCCACAUGCAAAUUCCAAAACGAGAACUGGUUGACGUUUAUUGGUUAGCAUCCCUUAUACUUACAGGGAAAAUGCUUCAUCAAUUUCCCCAUUUCACGAGUUAAGAAC